AUUCUAAAAAAGCUAGAUUGGAAACAGGAAUAGCUGUUGUUUUUGGUUUCACUUCAACCAACAACGAACAAUGAUAUUCGUCGAAGCAUGGAAUACCUAACAGAGUUAGCAGAAAGCAAAUCUUUGGAAAAUAUCUUUACCUCAAUUAUCAGACAUCAAUAGAAAACACUCUCCCGUAAAACUGAUAACAGCGAGGAUUUUUUUAAUAACAAACUGGCCAUUUCUCAAAAGAGGUACAACCAGAAUAUUCUAGAUCAUGGAUUAAUUCAAAGUCCUUAUCCAGAGAAGAAGAACUAUUUGAAAAUAUAAGUGGAUGUAAAUAAAGUACCAAACGAGAGGAA